rnacentral:misc_RNA from 1 species
ACAAGACAAACUAGAGAUUUCUAAAUUAUAAUAAUGAACAAGACUGAAAAACACAGCAACUGUACAAAUGACGAAUUGCUAAAUAAGCAUAACAACACGUAAUGGCGUAAAAUUGAACUGUUCCCAUUGAAAGAGUAAUAAAUAGUCAAGACAAGGUUGCAUACUAACUCUCAAGUAUCCUUACAAAUACCAAAACAUCAAAAAACUCAAAGAUUGUCUGUCAUAAUAAAUAGCCCAUUAUUAUAACGAUUCAUUUACUUCUCAGCGGAUUUAACACUCUUCGGGUUGUGCUUCCUAGCAUACCUCUG